rnacentral:rRNA from 1 species
GCUUACGGCCACACCGCCUGGUUCACGUCCGAUCUCGUUUGAUCUCUGAAGCUAAAAUAGGUUGGGCCUGGUUAGUACUUGCAUGGGAGACUGCCUGGGAAUACCAGGUGCUGUAAGCU